ACUUUUCUGUGUGGGGGUUGUAUUUCAAUUUUUAAAAAAGGUUUUAAAAAUAACUAGAUGUGACUUCCUCUGACAAUGGGUCAUUCCUGACCCUCGUGGCCCCUGGGUUAGGUGCAUCGGCUUGGGGAGCCUGUACUCCAUCCUCCCCUCUCUUAGCUGCACCUGUCAGGGUGUGUGUGGUUCCUAGUGUCCCCAGGUAGAGGACGAGGGCUGACUCUGUCCUGUUCAGUGCUGUCACACGAUGCCCAGCCCAUCGGAGAGGUUCGUGAAAUGACUGUGGAAGGGGUCGCUCCGUAGGCCUGUAACCCUAAGUAAAGCCCUGUUCUUGCUGAAACACUGUCACAAAGGCCAUCAGAAGAGCAGAGGGAGAGGCUGCGACCAAAGCAGAGAAGGAGGCGAGAGCCUGGAAGAAAAAGAAUCUACAGUUCAAGACCGAAGCCACCUGAACCAGGCAGGCUCCUCAAGCUCAGGGAGGACUCCCUGCACGAGCUUCUUGGCGACAGAGAAGGCAAGUGAGGACGAUGAUGCCGAACUUUUCCAAUGGCCACACACAGUCAGUGGUGAGGCAGGGAGGUCGGCGGCCGUGGCAGCCGUGAGGGUAGCCCCCGGGGCCGGGGCGCCUGGCACGCGCCCCUGAAGUUCAUGGCCCAGCGCACGGCCGGCCGGGCACGGCUCUGCGGGCAGUAACGCCUGGCCGAGUGUGACGGGCGAACGGUGGCGAGGCCUGGCUUAGACAGAGUGAAGGGACUUCUCAGCGCCCUUGGGGUGUUGAUGAGCAGCGUGAAGCACCCGGGCGGGGAUACAGCACCCGGCAUCUCCCAAGCUUGUUCCACCCCAGUGGGAAUGCCAGUAUCUUCCUGAGCAGUGUUCCUCGCAUGCCGGUUUGGGAAACACGCCUACUGCUGUGCAGCCAGCCAAAAGGACUUAGUGCUACUCCUGGGAGGGAGUGUGGUGUGAGGCCGUACCGGGGGAGCUCAGGAGUCAGAUGGCUGGGGUUCGUAUCCAGGGUGCAUCACGCUAGAGGGUGAUGCCGUCGUUCUCCUUGACGCCCACAUCUCUACCUACAGCCCACAUCCUCCUCAGUGCCACCACCGUUCAGCUCAGAGGUCAGCUUCCCUGGGAACCUUCAGGGAGAAACACCCAGCUGGGGAGAGGCGUCUGCGUCCUGUGCUUUCUCGCAGCACCGCAGGGACUGACCUAGGGGCGAGGGGCCGGGCAGAGGAACUCAAGAAAAGGAGGCACUAACCUGCAGACCAGAUGCCUGACAUCUAGGAUUUAAGAAUGCUCCUGUGCUCCCCCCAGCCUGGUAUCAAAGGCAAAUGGGGUAACGUGAGGUGAAAAGAGGAAGGGACAGAAGACUGAAAGGAAGGCGUUAAUCACAUUUAUUGAUCGAUGAAUACGGAGACACCUAGGCCGGGAACUUACAUGGACUUCAUGGAUCCUUUUCAAAGUCACCUUCUCCCCACUGGCGGUCUCCAUGUGGUUAGAUGAAGAGACGAAACCUGCAGGAAAAAGGGAAGAAAAUAAGCCCUUGAGGCCUCAAAGAGGAAGCAGAUGGAGAUUCCACCGGUUUCCUAAGGAAAGAAAGCUGGAAGGCUGGAAGCUUUCCCACAGACACGGAAGCAAAGAGACAGGGUAAGCGGGAUGAACUUGGCCGCACAGGACAGGAGAGUGCCAAAAUCUUCAAGCAGAUCACGAAUCACGGACAAAUGCAGUUAGGAGCCAGAGUCAGGAUGCCCAGGACCAGUCCCCGGGGGAGAACCCCCUAUCCUGAGCAAGCACAGGCCUUGCUCAGCCUGUGCGUGAAGGUAAAACCCAGUCUGGGCUGGCGUCCUGGCUGGCAGAGGUCACAAGCAGUGGACACGGGGCCGCAGACUCACG